rnacentral:rRNA from 1 species
GGCUAACUCCGUGCCAGCAGCCGCGGUAAUACGGGGGGAGCAAGCGUUGUUCGGAUUUACUGGGCGUAAAGGGCGCGUAGGCGGCCGAACAGGUCACUUGUGAAAUCUCCGGGCUUAACUCGGAAAGGUCAAGUGAUACUGUUUGGCUAGAGUGCGGAAGGGGCAACUGGAAUUCUCGGUGUAGCGGUGAAAUGCGUAGAUAUCGAGAGGAACACCUGCGGCGAAGGCGGGUUGCUGGGCCGACACUGACGCUGAUGCGCGAAAGCUAGGGGAGCGAACGGGAUUAGAUACCCCGGUAGUCCUAGCCUUAAACGAUGAAUGCUUGGUGUCUCGGGUUAUAAAGUCCCGGGGUGCCGUCGCUAACGCUUUUAGCAUUCCGCCUGGGGAGUACGGUCGCAAGACUGAAACUCAAAGGAAUUGACGGGGACCCGCACAAGCGGUGGAGCAUGUGGUUUAAUUCGACGCAACGCGAAGAACCUUACCUGGGCUAGAAUGCCUCUGACAACCCUGGAAACAGGGCCUUCUGGGUAAAACCAGACAGAGUGCAAGGUGUUGCAUGGCU